rnacentral:rRNA from 1 species
AUUGAACGCUGGCGGCAGGCCUAACACAUGCAAGUCGAGCGGAUGAAGGGAGCUUGCUCCUGGAUUCAGCGGCGGACGGGUGAGUAAUGCCUAGGAAUCUGCUUGGUAGUGGGGGAUAACGUCCGGAAACGGGCGCUAAUACCGCAUACGUCCUGAGGGAGAAAGUGGGGGAUCUUCGGACCUCACGCUAUCAGAUGAACCUAGGUCGGAUUAGCUAGUUGGUGGGGUAAAGGCCUACCAAGGCGACGAUCCGUAACUGGUCUGAGAGGAUGAUCAGUCACACGGGAACUGAGACACGGUCCAGACUCCUACGGGAGGCAGCAGUGGGGAAUAUUGGACAAUGGGCGAAAGCCUGAUCCAGCCAUGCCGCGUGUGUGAAGAAGGUCUUCGGAUUGUAAAGCACUUUAAGUUGGGAGGAAGGGCAGUAAGUUAAUACCUUGCUGUUUUGACGUUACCAACAGAAUAAGCACCGGCUAACUUCGUG